GUGGGGAAUCUUAGACAAUGGGCGCAAGCCUGAUCUAGCCAUGCCGCGUGAGCGAUGAAGGCCUUAGGGUUGUAAAGCUCUUUCGCUGGGGAAGAUAAUGACUGUACCCAGUAAAGAAGCCCCGGCUAACUCCGUGUCAGCAGCCGCGGUAAUACGGAGGGGGCUAGCGUUGUUCGGAAUUACUGGGCGUAAAGCGCGCGUAGGCGGAUUGGAAAGUUGGGGGUGAAAUCCCGGGGCUCAACCUCGGAACUGCCUUCAAAACUCCCAGUCUUGAGUUCGAGAGAGGUGAGUGGAAUUCCGAGUGUAGAGGUGAAAUUCGUAGAUAUUCGGAGGAACACCAGUGGCGAAGGCGGCUCACUGGCUCGAUACUGACGCUGAGGUGCGAAAGCGUGGGGAGCAAACAGGAUUAGAAACCCUGGUAGUCC
rnacentral:rRNA from 1 species